CGUACAAUCAUUGUACAAUCGAAUUUUUGCCCGUUUAUGUCUUUAUGAGUGUUUGGAAAUAGAUAAGUGUGCGAGAAAAAAUAGAAUGAAAACUGUAUGUAAGUGACCACUAAAGAUGCAAUUUCAAACAAACCGAGAACCGUAAAUACAUUGCGAUAAAUGUUUACAACACAGUAUGAAAUAUACAGAGAUAGCUUCAACCAACUUCUCCAAGAAGCUAGACCUUACCUUUGUUUGAAAAUUCAUCUGUGGCUAUAGUUGAAACUUGUAUUAAAGAUGAAGCUAGUGGUGGGGUGAAUCAACAUGAGAAUCUCCAUUCGACAAAUAUAAUUACCCAAAGUUGUCGCAUCCUUGAGGAAACUAUUGAAGCAAGAUCCCACUUGGAUGGAGUUGUGAAUAUCCCUUUACCACCUGUGUCAUUGACU